UAAAACGUAGGACGCAAGCGUUAUCCGGAGUUACUGGGCGUAAAGCGCGGGCAGGCGGUCGGUCAAGUCUGAUGUGAAAUCUCCUCGCUCAACGGGGAGCAGCCAUUGGAAACUGGUCGACUGGAGUCUGGCAGAGGUAGGCGGAAUUCCGGGUGGAGUGGUGAAAUGCGUAGAGAUCCGGAGGAACACCAGAGGCGAAGGCGGCCUACUGGGCCAGUACUGACGCUGAGCCGCGAAAGCCAGGGGAGCGAACGGGAUUAGAAACCCCGGUAGUCCUGGCCGUAAACGAUGUGUGCUGGGUGGUGGGGGGUCUCCCUUCACUGCCGAAGCCAACGCGAUAAGCACACCGCCUGGGGAGUACGGUCGCAAGGCUA
rnacentral:rRNA from 1 species